rnacentral:rRNA from 1 species
UACGGAGGGUGCAAGCGUUGUUCGGAAUGACUGGGCGUAAAGCGUACGUAGGCGGACAUGUAAGUCGAUUGUGAAAUCCCCGAGCUCAACUUGGGAAUUGCAGUCGAAACUACAUGUCUUGAAUGCUUGAGAGGGUAGUGGAAUUCCCGGUGUAGAAGUGAAAUUCGUAGAUAUCGGGAGGAACAUCGGAGGCGAAGGCGACUGCCUGGCGAUGCAUUGACGCUGAUGUACGAAAGCGUGGGGAGCGAACAGG